AUUGAACGCUGGCGGCAGGCCUAACACAUGCAAGUCGGACGGUAGCACAGAGGAGCUUGCUCCUCGGGUGACGAGUGGCGGACGGGUGAGUAAUGUCUGGGUAUCUGCCCGAUAGAGGGGGAUAACCACUGGAAACGGUGGCUAAUACCGCAUAACGUCGCAAGACCAAAGAGGGGGACCUUAGGGCCUCUCACUAUCGGAUGAACCCAGAUGGGAUUAGCUAGUAGGCGGGGUAACGGCCCACCUAGGCGACGAUCCCUAGCUGGUCUGAGAGGAUGACCAGCCACACUGGAACUGAGACACGGUCCAGACUCCUACGGGAGGCAGCAGUGGGGAAUAUUGCACAAUGGGCGCAAGCCUGAUGCAGCCAUGCCGCGUGUAUGAAGAAGGCCUUCGGGUUAUAAAGUACUUUCAGCGGGGAGGAAGGCGAUGUGGUUAAUAACCGCGUCGAUUGACGUUACCCGCAGAAGAAGCACCGGCUAACUCCGUGCCAGCCGCCGCAGUAA
rnacentral:rRNA from 1 species